rnacentral:rRNA from 1 species
UGUGUGAAGAAGGCCUUCGGGUUGUAAAGCACUUUCAGUCGUGAGGAAGGUGGUGUAGUUAAUAGCUGCAUUAUUUGACGUUAGCGACAGAAGAAGCACCGGCUAACUCCGUGCCAGCAGCCGCGGUAAUACGGAGGGUGCGAGCGUUAAUCGGAAUUACUGGGCGUAAAGCGCAUGCAGGUGGUUUGUUAAGUCAGAUGUGAAAGCCCGGGGCUCAACCUCGGAAUAGCAUUUGAAACUGGCAGACUAGAGUACUGUAGAGGGGGGUAGAAUUUCAGGUGUAGCGGUGAAAUGCGUAGAGAUCUGAAGGAAUACCGGUGGCGAAGGCGGCCCCCUGGACAGAUACUGACACUCAGAUGCGAAAGCGUGGGGAGCAAACAGGAUUAGAUACCCUGGUAGUCCACGCCGUAAACGAUGUCUACUUGGAGGUUGUGGCCUUGAGCCGUGGCUUUCGGAGCUAACGCGUUAAGUAGACCGCCUGGGGAGUACGGUCGCAAGAUUAAAACUCAAAUGAAUUGACGGGGGCCCGCACAAGCGGUGGAGCAUGUGGUUUAAUUCGAUGCAACGCGAAGAACCUUACCUACUCUUGACAUCCAGAGAACUUUCCAGAGAUGGAUUGGUGCCUUCGGGAACUCUGAGACAGGUGCUGCAUGGCUGUCGUCAGCUCGUGUUGUGAAAUGUUGGGUUAAGUCCCGCAACGAGCGCAACCCUUAUCCUUGUUUGCCAGCGAGUAAUGUCGGGAACUCCAGGGAGACUGCCGGUGAUAAACCGGAGGAAGGUGGGGACGACGUCAGUCAUCAUGGCCCUUACGAGUAGGGCUACACACGUGCUACAUGGCGCAUACAGAGGGCGGCCAACUUGCGAAAGUGAGCGAAUCCCCAAAAGUGCGUCGUAUCCGGGAUUGGAGUCUGCAACUCGACUCCAUGAAGUCGGAAUCGCUAGUAAUCGUGGAUUCAAAUGCACGGUGAUACGUUCCUGGUCCUUGGUACACACCGCUCGUCACACAUGGGAUUGGCUGCCAAGAAAGUUAAGUAUGCUAACGUUCGGGGGACGCCUUAACCAUUUUUGGCUUCAAUGAGCUUG